CAACUUGUUCAUGUACGCAUAUAUUGCGAGGGCACCCCGGGAAACCACAAGGUGGCAGCGUCGUCACGGUAAACAGCAACUGCCUGUCAGUGGCGAUUUGAAUGGAGUAUAGAAUUUCAACAUUUGCCAUAUAAAUAAACAUGCUGUCACUUUCUGAAUCUAUUUUAUAGGCAUCCUGUGGAGGUUUCUGACA